rnacentral:lncRNA from 1 species
GGGGCAAUCUAUAAUUUUUUGUCCCUUCUGUCCACAGUUAAAACAAGAACCAGUAUUUCAUGGAUAAUUAGAAAACUCAUGAUCUCUUCAGCCACAUCUCGAACAUUUAGCCACCCCAUUCUCCCAACUCUUAUCAUUUACUGGUUUCUUUGUUGGACUCUUAUUGUUUUGAUUUCAUCCUUGAGUUUCACCAAACUUGCUUCUCUUCUUCUGAUUCCAU